AAGUGUAUUUUGUUAUAUUUAUCACAAAUAUUAGUUUUAUUCACAGAUGGUAUAAUGUUCUUUGUAGAAAAUCUGAUGAAAUCUCCAAAAAACUACUAGAAAUAAUGAGUUUAGCAAUGUUGUAGAAAACAAGAUCCAGAUACAAAAAUCGAUGGUAUUUUAAUAUGCUAAUAAUUAGCAGAUAUUGAAAUUUUUAAAAAUACAGUUUAUUAUAGCAUCAGAAAAAUGGAAUGCUUAAGUAUAAAUCUGACAAAAAAUGUGAACUACCUGUACACUGGACCACUAAACACUAGUGAAACAAAAUUGAAGAGCUACUUAAUUGGAAAUCAGUUUUCCCCCAGAUUUAUCUAUAGAGUCAGUGAAAUCCCAAUCAAAAUCUCAGCAAGGUCUUUAAGAAAUUGACAAUCUUAUUUUAAAAUUUAAGUGGAGAU
rnacentral:lncRNA from 1 species